CUCACACACUAACUUGUCACCUUGGGGAAGUUACAUUAACUCUGUCAUUUUAUUUGAGCUAACCUAAUUGUGUUUCAGGCUUUUAACAAGUUUUCAUUGAUAAUGAGGCUUACAGUUAGCAUUUUAAAGCUUACAUAAAAUUCUCCAAGUUAGUGAUUCAUAUAUACCUUUUAAGUUAAGAAGCUCGAGUACGUAAUCCUUCCUGCAGAAGGACGUGGGCUGUGUUUGUGAAAAGACCAGGUUGUGCUGGCUGCUGUUUGUUUUGUUUGUCUUGACAAUGUGGAUUGUUACCAAACCUAUUGAUCUGCAGCUUUUGGAUCAAUAAGACAUGGUGGAAAUGAGCACCUUGGCCGUGUUGUCUUGUGGCUCACUCACCCCUUCAGAAGUGGAUGGAAAGUAGAUGAGGUUUGGGGGAAGAGGACGCUUGGAGGACUGCAAGUGAUGAACAUCCCUGUAAUGAAUGCCCCAGCCCCAAAUCAAGGUGGGUUUCUUGUGCAUUUAUUCUCCCUGAAGAAGGACUGAAGUGGCGGAAAAAAACAAUUGUGAUUUCAAAAUGCUGAUGCUGGCCAUCCUAAGCAAGGCCUUUGUUGCUGCUGAUUGCCAACUGGGUAUAGAAAAUGAAGCUCAGGGGAGAGGACGGAAACAACAAAGGAAAGGUCACAGUGCUCUGCAUAGAGAAAGAGAAAAAGAUGCUAGAUCACCCUGGGGAGCCUGAGCAUCAUGGCAAGAGGCUGGAAGAGAGAGGAGAAAUCGAAGGACAGAAAGGACUCCUGGGAGCAGGACUAUUGGAGAAAGCCUAUUGUUGGAUGGCAAAACAAAAAAGACAACAUCAUCUCCAGAUGGCAACUGCUGCAUAACACGUACGGUGCCCGGGAGGAAAGAGCAAGCCUUGGACUCUUCUGGUCUUCUCCAACAGAUAUACAGACUGAAGUUCCAGAACGCUCAAUCUGAAACCCGCAGGGAAGCUCGGGGCUGAGAGGUGAGGUCACGAGGCAUGUCCUCGAGCUCUGAGUGGCUGGUCUCUCAGCCUGGUGUCCUUUUUGCUUCAUUCACCACAGUCCUUCAUACACUGCA